rnacentral:rRNA from 1 species
UGAACGCUGGCGGAAUGCUUUACACAUGUAAGUCGAGCGGCAGCGCGGGGCAACCUGGCGGCGAGCGGCGAACGGGUGAGUAAUGUAUCGGAACGUACCCAGUCGUGGGGGAUAACACAGCGAAAGCUGUGCUAAUACCGCAUACGUCCUGAGGGAGAAAGCGGGGGACUCGUAAGGGCCUCGCGCGAUUGGAGCGGCCGAUAUCGGAUUAGCUAGUUGGUGAGGUAACGGCUCACCAAGGCGACGAUCGAUAGGUGGUCUGAGAGGAUGAUCACCCAGACUGGGACUGAGACACGGCCCAGACUCCUACGGGAGGCAGCAGUCGGGAAUUUUGCUCAAUGGGGGAAAGCCUGAUCCAGCAAUGCCGCGUGUGUGAAGAAGGCCUGGUUGUAAGCACUUUGUCCGAAGAAUAGGCUCUGGUUAAUACCUGGGUCGAUGACGGUACCGGAAGAAUAAGGACCGGCGUAACUACGUGCCAGCAGCCGCGG